GACAAGUAUAUAAAGAAACUAUUAUGGAUGGUUAGCUAUAUAUUUCAAGAUAUUUAUAUCUAGAGAGACCGUAAACUAGAAAUCAUAGAGAAAUCUAAUUAUAAGACAAAGUGAAUUGAAAUAUCUUAGUAACUUUAGUAAAAGAAAUCAAACGAGAUUGUUAUUUGGUGUCUUCUGAAUAGCAAAAGCCUUAAUAAAUAAUUAUAAAAUUUACCAUUAAAUUUUAUAUAAGAUAAAGUAAUACUUUAUUACUAUAUCUAAUUAUUUAUAAAAUAUAUGUAAUAGUAUAUUUAAGUAUAACGGAAAAAAAUCUGUUGAAAAAUAGGGGAACCUUCCUCUAAGGCUAAAAAAAAUAUAUAAGCGAUAGUGUAACAGUACCGUGAGGGAAAUACCCUGAAAUAGUAGUUUUAUAAGCAGCUCAAGUUAAAUUUUAAAUAAAUAAUAAGAGCGUACCUUUUGCAUAAUGGGUCAGCAAGUUAAUUUUAGAUGCAAGUAACAUCUCUUUUAUAAGCAUUUACAUAUAGUACAUUAUACAUACUAAAUAUGUAUAUAUUUUUAUAUAGGUAUUUAGUACUCAAUGGAUAGAGACAAAAUACGAUAUGUAUAAUGAUAUUAUUUAAAAUAUUGGUAUGUAAAUUUAUUAAUAAAAUUAGGAGGUAGAUACGUAGAUAAACCAAUUAUGAAAAAAUGAAUUAGUAUCUAGAAUUAGACCCGAAGGCUAGUGAUCUUACCAUGGUCAGGGUUAUAAAAGCCCGAACGGGUUAUCGUUGUAAAGAUAUCCGAUGAACUGUGGUAAGUUAGUGAAAGACAAAACUGACUAGUAUAGCUGGUUUUCCGCGAAACCUAUGUAAGUAGGUAAUUUAAUUAACAUCUUAGCAGGUACAGAACUGUGAUCUCGGACAAUAUCUAAGAUAUUUGUCAACAUCGGGGGGUUGUAGUGACUUUACCGGAGAGUAUUUGCACUCGGAAGGGCAAAGAUGAAUGUUAAAUAAUCGGACAUAGUGCGAUAAGGUUGUAUGUCUAAAGGGAAACAGCCCAGAACAAGAGUUAAGGUUCCAAAAUUAUUGUUAAGUGAAAUUAAGGAUGUUUUUUUUUAAAACAAUCAGGAAAUAGGCUUAGAAGCGGCCAUUUUUUGAAGACCUCGUAACAGAGCACUGAUUAAUAAAUUAGGAAAAAACGCCGAAAAUUUAACGGAUCUAAAUAAUAUACCGAAACCUUGUACACAAAUAAAAAUUAAAGCGCUGUGACUUAGUUUUUACUAAGCGCUGUGACUUAGGAUUUUUGUGGGGUAGCGGAACAUUGGAUUAAACAAAAUAUUAAUAUUUUUCUUAAAAUAUUAAAGAUCUUGCAUAAAACUAUCAAAGUUAACACUUUGUUAUAUGCUAUCUGUUAAAUCCAAGAGAGAAUGCUGACAUGAGUAACGAAAAAGGCUUUUAGCCUCGCCUGAAGCUUAUGGUUUCAUCUAAAAUCGGUGUCUAAAAAAAUUAAUCAAAAGAUAAUUUUGAUGACGUUUUAUGUUUUUUUAUAUGAUAAUACCAAAACCUUUAACAAGUAAUAAAGGUUCUGGAAAAGUUUAUUUUAUUAUUUGAAGUGAAAAGUAAUAUAAUACUCAUACUUAUUGGUACAAAAUUGUAUAUUAUAAUAUAUAAUACAUACUUUAUUAUGGUAUUGUGAUUAUACAAUAUAUAGUAGAGUGAGUAUUAUAAUAUAUAUAAUUUCAAAUAAUAGUCUUAAAUCUAUUAUGAUAAUAUUAGAGAUAAUAAUUAUUAAUAAUUAAUAACCAUUAUAUUAUUAAUAGUUAAUUACCAUUAGAUUAUUAAUAAUUAAUAACCAUUAUAUUAUUAAUAUGUAUUUAUAUUAAAAUAUAUCUAUUAAACGUUAUUAUUAAUAAUAUUUAAAUUAAUAGAUUUAAGAUAACUUUAUACUGGUAAAAAAAGAAAAUUAAAAAAAAACAAUAAAUAACCGUACCUAGAAACUAACUCAAGUAAGCAAGUAGAGAAUACAAAGGCGUUUGAGAGAACAAUCAUUAAGGAACUCGGCAAAUUGACUCUGUACCUUCGGAAUAAGGAGGACCAUUAUUAUUAAAUUUAACAUAUAGUAAAGUAUGUAAUUAUAUAUGAAAAAUUAAAUUAAUAAUAAGAGGAAUCAUGAAAUAAUGUUGUGCGACUGUUUAAUAAAAACACAGCACUCUGCAAAGAUAAAAUAUCAAAGUAUUGAGUGUGAUGUCUGCCCAAUGUCGGCUGGGUAACGGAUCUACCUUGAUUAUUAACUGAGGUUUUGAAGGACACCCCGAUUAAUGGCGGCCUUACCUAUGAGGGUCCUAAGGUAGCGAAAUACCUUGGCCGUUAAAUGCGGUCCUGCAUGAAUGACUUAACGAUGCAACAGCUGUCUCGAUGAUUGUCUCAGUGAAAUUGGAAUAGCAGUGCAGAUACUGUUUACCUCUAGAUAGACGAGAAGACCCUAUGCAGCUUUACUGUUACUAAUUAUAGGAGUGAAAUUUUAGGAUGAUUUAUAGUGUAUAAGGUAGUUGUUUAGAUAAUAAUGAAACACCUUUAUUCGAAUCCUUAUAUAUACUCUUAAUGAUUAGAAGGCAGUUUAUGCGGGGCACAGAUCCCACAAAAAGUACCUGGGUAUAUCCAAAGUUCAUAUUGUAAACUUGUAUAUUUAUAUACAAAUAUUUUAAUUUGUUCUAAUUAUUAUUAUAAUUAUACAGUUAUUAUUCGAUUAAAUUCUACAAUUAUUUUUUAUUUUAAGUAAGAUUUUAACUAUGCGGUGAAUAGAUGUAUUUUAAACUUUACCGGGCUUUGUUCUAAUUUUAGUUCAAAGAUUUAAAAGUUUAUUUGUUAUAUUAAUAAAGUAUUUAUCUUUAUUAAUAUAAUGUUUAUUAAUACUUUAAAAGUUUAAUGGCUAAAUCUUGCUUUACUGUUUGACCUACAAGUCUAUCAGUCGCGUAAGCGGGGCAUAUGAUCACAAGAUGCAUUAAGGAAAGGUCUUGGAUUAUAGAAAAAGUUACGCUAGGGAUUUAUAACUGUGAGUCCUCCAAUAUUAUAAAAUAUUGGUAAU
rnacentral:rRNA from 1 species